rnacentral:rRNA from 1 species
GCGUGCGCAGGCGGUUUUGUAAGACUGUCGUGAAAUCCCCGGGCUCAACCUGGGAAUGGCGAUGGUGACUGCAAGGCUAGAGUUUGGCAGAGGGGGGUAGAAUUCCACGUGUAGCAGUGAAAUGCGUAGAUAUGUGGAGGAACACCGAUGGCGAAGGCAGCCCCCUGGGUCAAAACUGACGCUCAUGCACGAAAGCGUGGGGAGCAAACAGGAUUAGAUACCCUGGUAGUCCACGCCCUAAACGAUGUCUACUAGUUGUCGGGUCUUAAUUGACUUGGUAACGCAGCUAACGCGUGAAGUAGACCGCCUGGGGAGUACGGUCGCAAGAUUAAAACUCAAA